rnacentral:rRNA from 1 species
GGCGCAGUUGCUUGGCGCUCGCAGCGCUCGCUGUUUAAGCUCGCUUCGGGUUGUAAAGUACUUUCAGUUGUGGAGGAAGGGGGUGUCGAUAAUAGCGGCAUCUCUUGACGUUGCAACAGAAGAAGCACCGGCUAACUCCGUGCCAGCAGCCGCGGUAAUACUGGAGGGUGCUGAGCGUUAAUCGGAAUUACUGGGCGUAAAGCGCAUGCAGGUGGUUCAUUAAGUCAGAUGUGAAAGCCCGGGGCUCAACCUCGGAACUGCAUUUGAAACUGGUGAACUAGAGUACUGUAGAGGGGGGUAGAAUUUCAGGUGUAGCGGUGAAAUGCGUAGAGAUCUGAAGGAAUACCAGUGGCGAAGGCGGCCCCCUGGACAGAUACUGACACUCAGAUGCGAAAGCGUGGGGAGCAAACAGGAUUAGAUACCCUGGUAGUCCACGCCGUAAACGAUGUCUAAUGGAGGUUGUGGCCUUGAAGUGGCUUUCGGAGCUAACGCGUUAAGUAGACCGCCUGGGGAGUACGGUCGCAAGAUUAAAACUCAAAUGAAUUGACGGGGGCCCGCACAAUCGGUGGAGCUAUGUGGUUUAAUUCAUGCAACGCGAAGAACCUUACCUACUCUUGACUUCCUACGAGGCAGCGGAGACGCAGGUGUGC